rnacentral:rRNA from 1 species
AUACGUAGGUGGCAAGCGUUGUCCGGAUUUACUGGGCGUAAAGGGAGCGCAGGUGGCUCAUCAAGUCUAGGGUGAAAUAUCCCGGCUCAACCGGGAGGAGUCUCUAGAUACUGAUGGGCUUGAGGAAAGCAGAGGAAAGCGGAAUUCUCGGUGUAGCGGUGAUAUGCGUAGAUAUCGAGAGGAACACCAGUGGCGAAGGCGGCUUUCUGGGCUUUUCCUGACGCUGAGGCUCGAAAGCGUGGGGAGCAAACCGGAUUAGAAACCCGAGUAGUCC